UACGAAGGGGGCUAGCGUUGCUCGGAAUCACUGGGCGUAAAGCGCACGUAGGCGGCUUUUUAAGUCAGGGGUGAAAUCCUGGAGCUCAACUCCAGAACUGCCUUUGAUACUGGGAAGCUUGAGUCCGGAAGAGGCGAGUGGAAUUCCUGGUGUAGCGGUGAAAUGCGCAGAUAUCAGGAGGAACACCAAUGGCGAAGGCAGCUCGCUGGGACGGUACUGACGCUGAGACGCGAAAGCGUGGGGAGCGAACAGG
rnacentral:rRNA from 1 species